rnacentral:rRNA from 1 species
CAGUAGCCACGGGAAUACGAAGGGGGCUAGCGUUGUUCGGAUUUACUGGGCGUAAAGCGCACGUAGGCGGACUUUUAAGUCAGGGGUGAAAUCCCGGGGCUCAACCCCGGAACUGCCUUUGAUACUGGAAGUCUUGAGUAUGGUAGAGGUGAGUGGAAUUCCGAGUGUAGAGGUGAAAUUCGUAGAUAUUCGGAGGAACACCAGUGGCGAAGGCGGCUCACUGGACCAUUACUGACGCUGAGGUGCGAAAGCGUGGGGAGCAAACAGGAUUAGAUACCCCAGUAGUCCCUGUCUCUUAUAC